rnacentral:lncRNA from 1 species
GGGACGGCAAUGCCGUGGCUAAUAACCAAUAAAGCCAUCGCUAAUAAUUUCUCGAUUUUUAGCUAUAGGAGGAUUUUUGGUCAUAAUAUUCUAUCAAAAAAUAUUAUUAUUAGCGACAACUUUUUUGUCAUCGCUAAUAGCCAUCACUAAUGCAUGAAAUUCUUAUAAUGACAGCCUAACAACUUUCUUUAAGGCCUAAGCAAGCUCUCUCUGUAUAAAGGGGGA